GGAUAGAUCAUAAAUGCUGGAAUGCUUUAUGAUUGAAAGGUUUCGACCGCCUUAGGAUGGAUCUGCGGCCUAUCAGGUUGUAGUGGGUGUAAUGUACCUACUAGCCUACGACGGGUACGGGUUGUGGAAGCAAGAGCCCGGAGAUGGAUUCUGAGACAUGAAUCCAGGCCCUACGGGGCGCAGCAGGCGCGAAAACUUUACAAUGCGGGAAACCGUGAUAAGGGAACACUGAGUGCUAGCAUUUAUGUUAGCUGUCCACAUGUGUAAAUAGCAUGUGAUAGCAAGGGCUGGGCAAGACCGGUGCCAGCCACCGCGGUAACACCGGCAGCCCGAGUGGUGAUCACUAUUAUUGGGUCUAAAGGGUCCGUAGCCGGUUUAAUCAGUCUUCUGGGAAAUCUAAUCGCUUAACUAUUAGGCUUCCAGGGGAUACUGUUAGACUUGGGACCGGGAGAGGUAAGAGGUACUGCAGGGGUAGGAGUGAAAUCUUGUAAUCCCUGUGAG
rnacentral:rRNA from 1 species